AUUUGUCAAGCAGCUGCAGAUAAACAGAAUUUUUUCUUUUUUCCCUCCAGAAACAGUGCUACACUUUAUUUUCCUCCCAGCAGACCCAAGUGUACCCCACACCAGCACUGUGUUCAGUGCCCUGGGAGCCAAGGGUGCUGGGGCAUGGAGGGUGUGAUCAGUGCCAUCACAGAUGUCCUGGGAAAUAAUGUAUAUAAUAACACAGCUGGUGUGGUGAUACACCUACAUUUGGCUUCUUUCCUCCCUCCUUGUAAGAAGUGCAGGUAACUGGAAGAACUGGAUUGUCCAACCUGCCCCAGUCUGAUGUUGUUUCCAAGAAAAACCUCCCAAACCUCCAAACAACCCAUGGGAAGAGUAAUUAAAGGAGUGGAUCAAGGAGCCCCGGGGAAGAUUACUCCCACAUGCACUUGGAAAGGUGUGCUGUGUCGUCUUGCAGUCAGGGGCUGACUGCAUCAUGAACACCUCUGUUGUAUUCACAGCCAUGCGUAGAAGUGAACAGAAAAGCCAGUUUGGCACAAAGAGAGUGACGGAGCAUGCCUCUUCUCCUGGGCUGCAUCCUCCAGCCACUGCUACUAGACCUGCAUCGAUUCACACGCAGCACCUAAGGAGGUGACCCAGUGACUCCUGGACGAGGAACCUGGCAAGAUUUUGCUCUCAGCUCCCUGGUGCCUCUCUGCCCACGUGAUUCUUUUGCUGUAGCUAAGAGUAAUUUGCAAUAAAUAUCUGCUCAGGUAUAAAACA
rnacentral:lncRNA from 1 species